rnacentral:rRNA from 1 species
GGAAUAUUAAACUUAUUAAAGAUAUUUUUGGUAAUCAUGGAAAUAAUGAAAACAAUCUUAUAUGUUCAAGUCUGUAGUAUUAGAUAAAGAAACUGUAAAUUGGUGAUAGAUAAAAAGUACUGAAAAGGAAGGUUGAAAUAGAUGAAAACGCAAUUAGUAGAAAGUACACGUUAAAAGUGGUACCUUGUGUAUCAGGGAUUUUAAAUAUUAAUUCUGUUAUUAGAAUCUCCCGAAAUUUAGUGAGCUAAUCAGUUAAAAUAGUUAACGUAGAAUAGUUAUUAAUAAUAACUUAUUAGAAAUGAAAUUUUAUACGCACUAAUAAGUAUCUGGUUUGUCAACAAACGAAUUUAAUUCGGCUCUUAGAUAUGAAAUGAAACUAAGACGUAAGAGCAGGAGGGAAAAGCUUCUUGUUCAAUAACAGGUGUGCUAUGAUUAAUAGGAAUUAGAUUAUUUAAUUAGGCUUAAAAUCAGUCAUAUUCGAAAAUCGUUAUAGAUUAUAUAAGUGAAGCUAAUAUUUAAGUUCAAUCUAGCAUAAUUAUUGACAAAUUAAGGUUAAUAAAUAUACUUUAGUUAUAAUUAAAAUAUUAGUAUAAAAUGUAGUAAUUUUUCUGAAUUGCAAGGUUUCAGUUAAACUUUAUGAAAACAAUAGUUGUACAAAGGAACUCGGCAAAUAUCCCUUCUGCCUGUUUAUCAAAAACAUGUCCGUAUGAAAAAGCUGUAUACGGUCUGGCCUGCCCACUGACAUGAGUUUAAGGGCCGCGGUAUUCUGACCGUGCGAAGGUAGCAUAAUAAUUAGUCUCCUAAUUAGAGGCUGGUAUGAAUGGUCUGACAAGAUGGGAUCUGUCUCUGUACAAUGUAUAUAAUUUAAUAUUUAAGUAAAAAAGCUUAAAUGAGAUGAAGGGACGAUAAGACCCUAUAAAGCUUUAUGAUGUAUAUUCGCUAAUGUUGAUUUUCGUAAUAUUAAAGCGUUAGAGAAUCAUAUCAUUUUACUGGGGCGGUAAAAGUAUAAAAGAAUAACUGCUUUUGUUGAAAUUAAACAAUGAUAGUUGGAGAAUAAAUUGAUCCAUUAAUAAUGAUCAUAAGAACAAGUUACUUUAGGGAUAACAGCGUAAUUUUUUUUGAGAGUUCAAAUCGAAAAAAAAGUUUGCGACCUCGAUGUUGAAUUAAGGGUACCUUAAGGUGCAGCAGUUUUAAAGGUAGAUCUGUUCGAUCUUUAAUUCCUUACAUGAUUUGAGUUCAGACCGGCGUGAGCCAGGUUGGUUUCUAUCUUUCACAGUAAUAGAUAUUUACUUUAGUACGAAAGGAUUUCGUAAAUCAAAUACUUUGUAUAUUGUGACUAAUAUUAAC